GAAACCCUGCUGCGUGCGUGAUGUCAUGCAUUGCUGAGCCAACGUUUACGAACAGGGAGUCCACGACCUGCGCUUGACCCGCAGGCCCCCUCGAGGGGAAGCGGCGAUUCCAGGGAGGACACCCACCUGUCAGAGACAGGUUCACGAGAAUCAUGGCACACGGCCUGGCGGGGUUUUU
rnacentral:other from 1 species